rnacentral:rRNA from 1 species
AAUCAACGCUGGCGGCGUGCCUAACACAUGCAAGUCGAACGCGAAAGCCCUUUCGGGGGUAAGUAGAGUGGCGUCCGGGUGAGUAACACGUAGGUAAUCUACCUUCGGGUGGGGAAUAACUCGCCGAAAGGCGAGCUAAUACCGCAUAAUGCAGCGGCACCUAAUGGUGAUUAGUUGUUAAAGCGGGGGAUCGUAAGACCUCGCGCCUGAAGAGGAGCCUGCGGCAGAUUAGCUAGNGGUGAGGUAAUGGCUCACCAAGGCUUCGAUCUGUAGCUGGUCUGAGAGGACGGCCAGCCACACCUGGCACUGACACACGGGCCAGACUCCUACGGAGGCAGCAGUGGGAAUUUUGGCGAAUGGGCGCAAGCCUGACCCAGCAACGCCGCGUGAGGGAGGAAAUCCUU